CAAGGAGUCAAAGAGAAAGCUGCUAACUAUCUCAUAGCAUGAGUGUUGGACCC
rnacentral:tRNA from 1 species